rnacentral:rRNA from 1 species
GAUGAACGCUGGCGGCGUGCCUAAUAUAUGCAAGUCGAGCGAACAGACGAGGAGCUUGCUCCUCUGACGUUAGCGGCGGACGGGUGAGUAACACGUGGAUAACCUACCUAUAAGACUGGGAUAACUUCGGGAAACCGGCGCUAAUACCGGAUAAUAUAUUGAACCGCAUGGUUCAAUAGUGAAAGACGGUUUUGCUGUCACUUAUAGAUGGAUCCGCGCCACAUUAGCUAGUUGGUAAGGUAACGGGUUACCAAGGCAACGAUGCGUAGCCGACCUGUGAGGGUGAUAGGCCACCUGGGAGCGGAGACACGGACCAGACUCCUGAGGGAGGCAGCAGUAGGGAAUCUGACGCAGUGGGCGAAAGCUUGACGGAGCAACGCCGCGUGAGUGAUGAAGGUCUUCGGAUCGUAAUACUCUGUUAUUAGGGAAGAACAAAUGUGUAAGUAACUAUGCACGUCUUGACGGUACCUGAUCAGAAAGCCACGGCUAACUACGUG